UAAAAUCGUGUUGGAGUGGAGUUCUGUGUGAGCGCUGUCUUUGAACCAAAUCAGUUCCACAACUGACCCUGUCAGGGACAUAUAAAUUUAGCAUUUCGGUGUGGAUACAGAAGACGAGAUUAACACAGAUCAAGUAACAUGGAAAUAAAAAAGGAGACAAUGCUGGAUGAUACGGGGGCAGCCAACAAGAAGAGAAAACCCAAGCAUUGGCAAACCCCUCAUUAUCCAAAGAACACUGCAAAAGAAAGCCUGAGGAGGCUUUCCCCUCUGAGUUUUUCUGUGGAUUGCUGGACUCUGAGGCCCUCAUUCCUCUUGCAGGAGGUGUGGAGCAAAACUGUGUUGAAGGAACUGUAGAUGGAAAUUCUCUCCUUCCCACCGAGGAGCCGCUGCAGGUUGCAGACUCCCAGAAUGCCACACUGAGAAGAGGAGGGCUGAAAUUCUAGAGCAGAAUCCCUGGGGCAGCCCCUGCUGAAGGAGGGUGCAUCUGUUGAAAAUCUCACCGCCGCCCCCACCCCGCCCAGCCUUCAAUUUAGAGGAAUUUCUAGUUCAUGCAGAAUGAAGACAAGAUCACAUAAGUGAGGAUGACGCCCUAUUUACAAGUGUGGUUUGGAAGACUGAAGUGGAAACCUUGGGAAAGGGCCUCAGAGUAUGUCAGCUGGGGUCAGACGGGAACAGGAGGCUGGCUCAACACACAUUUAUUGCACUCCUGCUUCAUGCCAAGAAAUGCACCAAAAUCUGGAAUUGUGUAACACAGCAAAGGAAAAGACUCAUCUCCAGGAAGCCCCCUUGUCUAGGAAGAGAAAUUGAAUAUCAGCAUAAGGUGGUGAAAAGCUGUGAAGGAGAUGAGUGCCACAAGUCCAUGGAGGAAGGAU
rnacentral:lncRNA from 1 species